rnacentral:rRNA from 1 species
GAUGAACGCUGGCGGCGUGCCUAAUACAUGCAGGUCGAGCGAACGGACGAGAAGCUUGCUUCUCUGAUGUUAGCGGCGGACGGGUGAGUAACACGUGGAUAACCUACCUAUAAGACUGGGAUAACUUCGGGAAACCGGAGCUAAUACCGGAUAAUAUUUUGAACCGCAUGGUUCAAAAGUGAAAGACGGUCUUUCUGUCACUUAUAGAUGGAUCCGCGCUGCAUUAGCCAGUUGGUAAGGUAACGGCUUACCAAGGCAACGAUGCAUAGCCGACCUGAGAGGGUAAUCGGCCACACUGGAACUGAGACACGGUCCAGACUCCUACGGGAGGCAGCAGUAGGGAAUCUUCCGCAAUGGGCGAAAGCCUGACGGAGCAACGCCGCGUGAGUGAUGAAGGUCUUCGGAUCGUAAAACUCUGUUAUUAGGGAAGAACAUAUGUGUAAGUAACUGUGCACAUAUUGACGGUACCUAAUCAGAAAGCCACGGCUAACUACGUG